rnacentral:rRNA from 1 species
CUCUAUUAGUCAUUAUUAAUAGUAUAAUCUGCUCAAUGAUAUUUAAAUAGCCGCAAUUAUUUGUGCUAAGGUAGCAUAAUCAUUCGUUUUUUAAUUGAAAACUAGAACAAAAGAUUAAACAUCUUAAUAAAUAUCUUAAAAUCAAAUCCAUAAAUUAUCUUAAGUGUAAAAAGACACUUAUUUAAAAGGUAGACGAUAAGACCCUAUUGAACUUUACUAAAGUUAAACUGGGGUAGUUAAUUAAUUAUAACUUUAAUUAUUAAUAUUAUAUAAUAGACCUAAUACUAUUAAAUAUGUAAUCAAGUUACCAUAGGGAUAACAGCGUAAUAUAUAUUAUAAGCCCUUAUUUAAAUAAUAGAUUACGACCUCGAUGUUGAAUAAUUAUUCUACAUUUACGCAAAAGUAAUAAAAGAAAGUCUGUUCGACUAUUAAAUAAUUACA